AUGAUACAUUUUAAAGCCCAUAUCGCCCAUCCCUAUACUGGGCCCACAUUCACUUCCUCACUUUGUCAUAAAAAAUGGUCUGCUGUACUGUGUCGCCCACAGGCUGGGGGGAGGAAAAAGUGCUUCGUGCCAAAGACCAAGAUGGAGACCGUCAUGGAACUAGCACAUACCCAUCCGAUGGCGGGACACCUGGGAGCCGAAAACACAGUCCAGCGCAUCCGGGACCGUUUCCACUGGCCAGGCCCGGAUGCGGAAGUGAAACGGUUCUGCCGAAGCUGCCCUACCUGCCAGAAGAAGGCGCCCCAUCGACCGUGGCGCAAAGGAUGGGACGAUCCUUUGCCGUCUUCAGUUGCUGGAGAAUGGAUGGCUUGGCUGGAAGACCUUCAUGACCUUGAAAAUUGGAAGGUCAGUAGGUGCUUAAAGCCUGUGGACUGUGGUCGUCUUGUUUCUGCUCAGCUCCGCCACUUUGUAGAUGCGAGUGAGGAGGGAUUUGGGACUGUGACUUACCUGUUGCUCCAUGACGAUUGUGGGCGAACUCACAGUGCAUUCAUAAUGGGAAAGGUUAGAGUAGCUCCUCUAAAACUUGUCACCAUUCCCUGUAUGGAGCUGACUGCCGCGGUGGUGGCAAGCAGGAUGGGUAAGUUGUGGAGGAAGGAACUGCAAAUGGACCUCCAAGAGUCAGUCUUUUGGACAGACAGCACUUCUGUUUUGAAAUACAUAAAAAACGAGACAUCUAGAUUUAAAAUAUUCAUAGAAAAUAGAGUGUCUGAAAUAUGGAAAAUGUCUAACGUAUCUCAGUGGAGGUACGUGAAUACAUCAACCAACCCUGCGGAUCUAGCCUCCAGAGGUGUUAAAGUUCAGUUAUUGCUAAAGACUAGUGCAUGGCUCUGUGGUCCUGAGUUUCUUCAUGAGCCUGAGAGCAGUUGGCCCAAAAACCCUGAGACCCUGGGAGACUCUUUUGUUGUAGACCCGGAGGUCAGGGCUGUGGUGGUGAACGCUGCUCAAGUAGAGCAUGUCAGUCCAGUGGAGAAGCUCAUUGAUUACUUUUCCUCUUGGCUUCGUCUUAAAAGGGCUGUUGGUUGGCUUCUCAGGUUUAAAACUUUGCUUUUGUCCCGGGUGCUACAUCACAAGCUGCUGAGAGAAACUCUUUCAGGAUCAGACCUUGGUGCCGAGCAGCUGGGGAAAGCGCUACAAGUCCAGAUGGAAGGUGUUAAGGCUCAAGUACCAAAGGAUGUUCAGUCCAUGGAGGAUAUGGUUGCAGUAGAAUUAGAUAUUAUCUGUUUUUGUCAAAAAAUAAGGUUUCCGGAAGAACUGGCCAACUUGAAGAAAGGAGAGUGUGUAAGGAGGACGAGUCACCUCUACAAGCUUAACCCGAUCCUGGAUGGUGAUCUCAUUAGGGUUGGAGGACGGCUUAGUAGAGCAGCUAUGCCAGUUGAAGCAAAACAUCCAGUUAUAUUGGCUAAAGAUCAACACAUCUCCAAUCUUAUUCUCUGUCAUGUACACCAAGAAACAGGUCAUGGUGGACGAAACCAUAUGCUUUCUCAUCUGCGUCAGAAAUAUUGGAUUCCUGGUGCCUGUGCUGCCAUUAGAAAGGUUUUGUCUAGGUGUGUUAUCUGUCGUAGACUGUCUGCUUCACCUGGACAUCAGAAAAUGGCUGACCUUCCUUACAAUAGGAUAACUCCUGAUGAGCCUCCUUUCAGUCGAGUUGGUUUGGACUGCUUUGGACCGUUUGAGGUUAAACGUGGAAGAGCUGUGGUCAAGAGGUAUGGGCUCAUUUUUACAUGCUUGGCGAUGCGAGCCAUACACCUUGAAGUUCUUUCAUCUUUGGAUACAGACUCCUUUAUCAAUGGUUUUAGAAGGUUUGUGGCUAGACGGGGUCAAGUUCUUGAAAUCCGCUCAGAUAAUGGUACUAACAUUGUGGGUGCUGAACGUGAAUUAAGGGAGGCCAUUGAGAAUCUGAACCAUAACCUCAUAAAUGACGUGCUGUUACAAAAGGGCGUGAAAUGGGUUUUCAAUCCCCCAGCNAUGACAGAAUUUUCAUUUUUGGGUGAACUAACCCUUUAA
ensembl:lncRNA